GGUUAUAAUAACCUUCCUGGCGUAUAAAAGUACCAGGAAGUUUAUUUGCGAGAAACCUGGACUUUAUCUGAUUUCUGCAUCUAUCGUUGCAGAAGCCAAUGACGCUCAGUACUACUUGUACCUAAACAAUAAUGCGGUUACAUUUACAUACGUUUUUUAUAACAGUAACAAUCCUUCUACAAUGCGAAAUGCCGGUACCAUUGUUCUUGCUCUGCAAUUACAUCCUAAUGACAGUGUGUGGGUGAAGAAUAGUGGUACCAUUAUGAUAUCCACUGGUAUUGUGUCCACAUUAUCAAUCGUUAAAGUGAAAUAAGAUUUACCGAACAGACAUUAUAGUUUAUACAUUUUUUUGUGAUUACGUACACUUUUUACAAAUAAAAGAUUUCAUUUUCAGUUACAUGUGUUUGAAAUAAACUAAUAAGACAAUUAUGGCUACUUUGUAUAUGAAAC
rnacentral:lncRNA from 1 species